CCAAUAGCGUAUAUUAAAGUUGCUGCAGUUAAAAAGCUCGUAGUUGAAUUUCGGGGUUAGUAGGUUGGUCAUGCCUCUGGUAUGUACUGGUCUCACUGAUUCCUCCCUCUUGAAGAACUGUAAUGCCAUUAAUUUGGUGUUGCAGGGAAUCAGGACUGUUACUUUGAAAAAAUUAGAGUGUUUAAAGCAGGCUUUAGCUUGAAUACAUUAGCAUGGAAUAAUGAAAUAGGACGUUCGAUCCUAUUUUGUUGGUUUUUAGGAUCAACGUAAUGAUUAAUAGGGAUAGUUGGGGGCAUUAGUAUUCAAUUGUCAGAGGUGAAAUUCUUGGAUUUAUUGAAGACUAACUACUGCGAAAGCAUUUGCCAAGGAUGUUUUCAUUAAUCAAGAACGAAAGUUAGGGGAUCGAAGACGAUCAGAUACCGUCGUAGUCUUAACCAUAAACUAUGCCGACUAGGGAUCGGAUGAUGUUAAUUUUUUAAUGACUCAUUCGGCGCCUUACG
rnacentral:rRNA from 1 species